UAGAGGAUACAUUGAAAAAGCCAAACAAAAUGUGCAGAUUGUUCCAACCCUGUAACAGAAACCUAUAUCAAAUUCAUAGGACUAUCACAAUAUUGUGUUUAUCUUUUCUAGUUAUUUUUGAAAUGCGUUUUCUUAUUUGUUGCUUAUCAUUGUUUUCUUGCCCUUCUUUGGUUUCUGGUUAAUCCUCUGCUUAUUUGUUAAUCUGACAGAGGCUUUCUGGAGUAUCUUUGCUAAUACUAGCAAAUAAGCAAGACCUAAAAGGUGCUCUUACACCAGAUGAAAUUGCUAAGGUACUAAACCUGGAGAAUAUGGACGAAACCAGGCAUUGAAAAAUCAUGGGCUGUAGCGCAUACAUAGGGGAGGGGCUGCUUGAGGGAUUUGAUUGGUUGGUUCAGGACAUGAUGAUACCUUAGGAUCUAGUUAACAUUAAGCAAUAGAGUUAGGGUUUUUUCUAUUGGCCCUCUCAGAGAACUGAUUAAGGUCCAUUUGUACUGUUUUAUUAACUAUCUUAUUGUUGUGCAAUUUAGUCAAGCUGUGAAUUCGACAAAAAAAAAAAGUCAAGCUGUGAAACUUUUUGGGUCAAUAGUAUUAUUGAAACUUUCAAUGG